rnacentral:lncRNA from 1 species
UCCAAAUCCAUCUUCCUGAAGCACAUCUCUGACUGUGUGACUUACUCUGAUUGCAGGGCUCCUAAAGGCCAUCUCUCCCUAUGGGGACUUCAGCUUAUGUUCUCAUCCUUACCUCCUACUCCUGCUCUUCUCUCAUGCAUUCCUGCAGCCAAACGUUGCCAAAGGGCUUGGCCAUGACUCCUUGGCUCUGAGUGGGUGCUGGCCAGGAAAACAGCUCUUGGGAGCCAACGAAGACAGAUGCCAGUCCCCAGCACCUCUAGUCCAUCACUGAUGAGGAACAGAAAAGGUAUGAGGGGGCAGGGGAGCAUGACAUUCGUCUACAGAACACACACAGCAGCAGAGAGACAGU